rnacentral:rRNA from 1 species
UAGGGAAUCUUCGGCAAUGGACGAAAGUCUGACCGAGCAACGCCGCGUGAGUGAAGAAGGUUUUCGGAUCGUAAAACUCUGUUGUUAGAGAAGAACAAGGACGUUAGUAACUGAACGUCCCCUGACGGUAUCUAACCAGAAAGCCACGGCUAACUACGUGCCAGCAGCCGCGGUAAUACGUAGGUGGCAAGCGUUGUCCGGAUUUAUUGGGCGUAAAGCGAGCGCAGGCGGUUUCUUAAGUCUGAUGUGAAAGCCCCCGGCUCAACCGGGGAGGGUCAUUGGAAACUGGGAGACUUGAGUGCAGAAGAGGCGAGUGGAAUUCCAUGUGUAGCGGUGAAAUGCGUAGAUAUAUGGAGGAACACCAGUGGCGAAGUCGGCUCUCUGAUCUGUAACUGACGCUGAGUCUCGAAAGCGUGGGGAGCAAACAGG